AACCAAAGGCAAGGACUAACGCUGAACUGUGUUACUCAGGUAAAGAAUCUACAGCAAAGAAAUCUAUAAGUCUUUCUAGUUAUCUGCCAAAUCCUUAUUAGGAUCAAGGCACGAGAUGGCAAGUGUGCUUCUGCAUGUAAAGCAUCCCAUGUUGUGAAAAGCUUCAUCCCAUUGAUGAAAGGGACUUUGGGAUGCCCACAGUUGAAACAGUCUGAAUCAGUUAGACAUGGGAGUAUCAACUGAAAAUUUGUAUUUUCAAAAGAAUUGGAAUGGAGACCACUAUGAAGACAGAGAGUGUAUGGGAACUGUUGAAUCACGGCCCGAACCUCUGAUUGAUCAGCCAAGGCGAGCACUGAGUCAGCCGCAGGAGCACAGGUGAAGGCAAUUCACCUGUGUGACUGGAAGGGAUGGAGCCUGGCUGCACCUCUCCCAGACUCCAUUUAAGGGCUGACUGCCACUGAGGAAGGAUCGCUUUCUGGAGAUUGCUCCUCUUGGAGUUUUUAUUUGUGAGCCUAUGACACAGGUACAUCUUUCACCAUCAGGUGCAAUCUAUUUGGGCUCCAACUCUGCCACGCAAAGGCAGCAGACAUACAGUCAGAAAAUUUGAAAAACUGAAUAAAACAAAUCUCCCCUUGCUGGUCCAGUCAAGCCUUAACUGAGACAUCAUUGUUGCAAACCUGGUGUUGACUCGUGAAGCCUGUGGAGAAACCAUUAAAUAGAUGUCAGACUGCUGGAACAUGUCUCUUCAGUGUCCUACCACAGAUCUGAAAGCGCACUGCCAAGAAGCUGCCUUGUCUCGCAUAGAAGCAAUGAUUACAGAUUUUGAAAUCUUGGAGUUUCCUGUGAGGUAUAUCUCAGGUAGGAGAAACCCAACCCUGCACUCCCUAGCAGCCCUGUGGUUGCUGUGGGAGUGUAACUGAUGCGCCUCAUUAGAGUUUGAGAUUGUCCCGAGUUCCUUCCUUGGGGCUGGACAUCCCAUACCAAGCCCUUCAAGGGCCCAUGAGGCCUCAUAGAGGUAACAGAGAGAACUCUCCAAACACAUCUUCUCAAGAGGAAGAGAGAAAAUGAAGAGUCUGUGUUUUGUCAGCAUUAAUCAAGGAGAGACACCAUACCUGCUACGGAUGAGACCCACGGCACUGCUCUGACGGUUAUCUCCCUUCCUUCCUUUUCCAUGGAGGACUUUGUUGAUGGUAUUACUCUCUCCAUUUUACAGAUUGAAGCACCUUUUCUAUUCAUGUUUCCUACUGGAGUUUUUCAGCAGAAGCCACACAGGAGUGCCUGAAGAGUCCACAACUCUCUGACCAUAGGCGGAAGGAGAGGCAUGUGGGCUCACAAACCCUUCAGUGGACUCUUGGUCCGGAAUUUCAUUGCCCCUGCACCUUUUGUGAAUGAAAACAAAGAGCUGAUUGGUAUUAGUGAACCUGGUGUUACAGCAAUGAGAAUUUAGACCCUAAGCAUGUUUUACCUCAACAUUAUAGAGACUUUUCCAUUUAGUCGCUGUUUUUUUCUGUUUUGGCACUGUUGUAGAAAUGUAAAUUAGAACUAGCAAUGAACAAACUUAUUUCUGUUCCUAAGUACAUGCUUAAGUUUUGGCCAUCAGAUAUAAGUUUUAAUUACCACCGGGGAAUUGAAUAACAGCAUUUUUUUUCCUUUGCUUCAGACUGUAAUUAUCUCAUUUUACACCUUUAUGGUCACUGCUUGUUUUCCAAGCAGAUUUUGUGCAAUCCUUCAUACUGUGUUAAAAACGAAUCAGAAAUUACUAGAACCAUAAUUAGGACUGAAACUAGGAACAGCUCUUCCUAAUAAUUGCAGAUGUGAUGAGUAAUUAUAAUUUAUGUUGGCUUUUCUAUGUCCCCAUGAAUUUUACAAAAAGCAAACAAACAAAAACAGGUUGACGACCCCCUCCUUUCUUUCCCAAAACUCUCCCCUCCCCUCCUGGCUUCUACGAACUGUGACCACUCUAACAGAAAGCAGAAAAGUUCAAACAGUCCGGGCUGACUUCCACAGAAGAGAAAGGGAAGUGAGGUCUGGGCACUUUUUCUUCCUGCCUCCCACCUUCUUCUGCCUUGCAAAAGUGGUUCUCCCUACUGCUGCCUGCAGACCUCAGUUCAAUAGGAAGAGGAGCUCUGUGUUCCUGCUGAGCAGUAACAGCAGUGGAUGCAAUAAUUGAACUGGAAAAUUAAGAGGACUCAGUGAAUGGGAGCUCUCAGUUCUAAGUAUGUUGUACUUAAGGAUGUGGUUUAGUGGGUAAUAUAUGUGGUAGGUGGACGGUUGGACUAGAUGAUCUUACGGGUUUUUUUCCAACCUUAAUGAUUCUAUGAUUCUACAAAUCUGUGUUGUGGAGCUACAGGAAGACAGCACAGAUGUUUGCCCCAAGUCCUAUUUCCAAGCAUGUUGUCUGUUUAUGGUUCCAUUGCAGCCUCCUUGAUUUCAAGAUAUUCAGAAGUGCUUUAAGCAAUUAAAACAAACAAACAAACAAACAAACAAACAGUUUUUUUUCUAAAACGAUUGUUUAUAUCUGGGUGAGGAUGUGCAAGCUUAGUUUUUUUCAGUAACACAACCGUUGUUUUGCAUUUCUACCACCUACGCAACUUGAAGUCUAGUGCCAUACUCAAGCAGAGGUGAAAGUUGAGAGAUUUGGCACCAUAUGGUGGACCAUCCACACGUUAUUAUUCUGUCCUUUUGGUAAUGACUCACACAGCAAAGAUUUCCUUCUUGUAUGAUUUUCUUUUCUAUUUGCUUUCCUUGAAAUCAACAUCCAAAUAAAAGCUAAAAAAUCAAUAGAUGUAUUAUGUAUAAUUAAUAGCAGUGUUGAAUGAUCUAAUGAGAUCAGAGUGCUUUUUCUCUUUCUUUCUUUGCUUCCCUGCCCUUCCAUGGAAUAAGAAACUGGCAAUAUGCCUGAAAGCCUCUUCCAAAAUUUUGCUUCACAAUCAGUGACUAGAAAGAGCCGAACAUUUCCUGAAAGUAUGUGGUUUGCAUAAGGUCACAGUAAAGAUCAAAUGGAAAAAAUGCAUCAUGUAUAAGUUGAGAUAUAAGAGUCUUUUGCCCACUAAAUCUGCUUUUUUUUCUCAUUUUGAAUAUAUCCUGAAAAACAACAAUACAUAAUUAAGAUAUCUCUAGAUAUUUUAAUAUGCAUAUAUCUGCACUUACAUAUAUACUCAUAUAUGUAGUAAUGUGCAAAACAUUUGCAUUUUCAGAUGAAACUGUGGCAAUCAACUUGCUUCAAAAAACUAACAAAUAACAAAAAGUUGCAAUUCUUUUGACAGACAAGAAAUUGUGGAUUAGAUUAGAUCUGGAAAAACAACUACUUGGUAAUAUGCUGCUACAACAAGCAUUAGCUAUUGCUCUUCAUGGCAGCACUGCUGAGUAGUCACCUACAGAUAAAGAGGUGUGGCAGCUGUCCGUAAACAUGACCAAGGCUUGCAUACUAUGGCUAAUACUAUUUUUUUCUAGGUUGUUUACUGAAGUUAACAAGAAAGCAAAUAAAAUAAAUGGAAUAUCAGUAUAGCAGUCUUCAUAUAAUCAUAGCCUGGCUUAGGCUGAGGGGACUUUUGAUAUCAUGUAGUUCCACUCCCUCUGCUGUGAGCAGGGCUGCCCCCCACCAGCUCAGGCUGCUCAGGACCCCAUCCAACCUGGCCUUGAGCACCUCCAGGGAUGGGGUACCACAGCUUCUCUGGGCAGCUAUGCCAGCAACUCAUCACCCUCUGUGGAAAGAAUUUCUGCCUAACAUCUAUCCUAAAUUUCUCUUCUUUUAGUUUAAAACCAUACCCCCCUGUCCUAUCACUACUGGACGAUGUAAAAAGUUGGUCCCCCUCCUGUUUAUAUGCUCCCUUCAAGUGCUAGAAGACUGCAAUGAAGUCUCCCCAGAGCCUUCUCCAAACUAAACAAUUCCAGCUCCCUCAACCUUUCCUCAUUGGAGAGGUGCUCCAGCCCUCUGAUCAUCUUCAUGGUCUUAAGAAUGCUUUGGAAGAUUUGGACCUACGUUGUGUUGUCUGGCUUACAGUGUAUCUGAAGUUCAUCCGAAAGUUGGAAGGGACCACAGGAAGUCAUCUAUUAUAGCUAAGAGAUAACAAUGUAAAUCAGUUUUUGUGGCAAUUAAAGUACGUGUGAUGAAAACAGAGAUGCAUGUUUAGAUUAGUCAGUUACACUAGAUAUGAUUGGUGCUGAAAUUUCAGUAAUUGAUUGCCAAAUUUGUUUCUGUUCACAUUCUGGGUGAAUAUUUGGGAACGUGAGAAGAAUCAUUAGAAGUACUUCUUUCAACACAUACCAGGGUAGUGAUUAGCAAAACAUCUGAAAACACGCUUUGCAGUCCUCCAUAGAACUGGCUGCUUGCUUGGCUCAAUAAUUUCAUCUUAGGCUUUGUCAUAUUUUGUCUUUCCUCCGUUAAAAUUCUCCUGAUCUCCUAGAGUGACAUUUUUCCACCUUUUUUUUUUUUUUUUUGUCCUACCCUCUUAUGCUGGAGACUAACAUGAAUUAUAUGAUGGAGUCAUCAUUUAUGUAGAUCAGUAAAAAUAUUCACUCACUUAGAUAUUCACACAUCAGAGCAGCAUUUUGAAUGGUUAUUUUAACCAUGCAGAACUCUGGUGGGUACCAAAGAAAAAUGAAUUGACAAGGGUCUAUAUUAUUCACACAGUUAUCUUUUCUGUUUUGCUUAUGGCAAGACCCAGGAUUAUAAUUUAUCAUAGUUCACUUCUGAAGUCUGGUGUUGUCAUGUAAAGCCAAACAGAACAGAUGUUGUUAUGAUGAUGAUUAUUAACACUAUUAUUGAUGGUGUUUACAAACUAAAGCCUGUUUAGGAGAGCACUCGCAUACUUUAGUUCCAUGGAGCUGAGAGGAACUCUGAGCUCUCCAUGCUUGUUUAAUUGUUAUUCUAAACAGGGAUAAACCUGAACAUAUGUUUAAGUGCUUCACUGAACUGGAGCCUUUUAGAGAUAUGGAAAGUCUCACUUUCUUCAUGAGACAAACCUUUGUUCAUUCCAGCUAGACCUUGCAGGCAUAAAUCAAGCUGAAAAACCAGAGAAGUAUCUCCCUGCAUAAAUUCUUGGAUUGCUUAAACUCAGCACCUAAUUACAGAGCUGGUGAACCUAGAUACACUGAAGGCGGUUUGAAAGGCUGCCUGAAACAUCAUGGGCUGAGAUGCCUUUGUCGGGAGCAUUGUGCUAUGAUGUGUAACGUGGGUAGAUUCCUGUGGGAUGUUGACAGUUUGUGGGAAAUGCAUGUAGGAGGAACUGGGUUACAAAGACCUGGGUUUUUUCUUUAAUAUUUGUUCCCUCUCAUGGUACUGUUUGUGGUCCUGGGGAAUUUUUCUGUUUUGUUUUGUUCUCUUUUUAAGGUAGGGGGAAGGAGGAUCUUCUGUUUUUGGGAAAACCUUCUCAAUAAAUGCUGCACAUCAUGAGACACUUGUUCAUGGAGAUUUGAUAGUACAUGGAGCCUUCCUUCCCAAAAAGAUGCUAGUUGAUGCUCCUGAAAGCUAUCAUGUUCCUUUUUUGCUCAUGUCAUUUAUGUGGAGUGAUGAUCAUUUGAUAAGCCAUGGAUUUAUGUAAUAAAUUAAUUAGCUCUGCAGUAUUCCCCCAUAUUUCUGCCUGCCAGUCUGUUCCCUGUGGGACUUGUUCAGUUUUUACAAACAGUAACAAAUAGCUCUCAAGAUUCUUAUUUUAUUUUAAGUCAUUUGUAAGGAAAAUGUUUUCUCCUCUUCCCACCAGAAAUGGAAUUUCCUCUCUCCCCCUUUAUUCUGGCCUGAGGCAUUGGGUGGAUGAGAUUCACUCCUGCACUGUCAGCGGGUUCUCUGCAUGCAAACGCAUGGAAUGUAUGUUCAAUAGCUUGCAGCAAUGCAAGGAUAGCACCAGAAGCUUUGCCAUUGGAAAAAGAUGAAUCUUACCUCCAUGAAAACUUGUGAUUCUUACAUCUAAUGUCAGCAGGGCAUCAGAUAUUGUGUUUGAAGUUGUAAUGCCUUCAGGUAUAGAAAAACAAUUUUCAUGCUAUUCUUCCUCCCUUACUACCCUUUUCCUGCCCUUUCUGUAUUGAAUCGGCAUAUGAUAUCAGACCAACAUCUGUUUUAUCUAAAGAAGGUACAUGUAACUUCUUGAUAAUUAUUUAUUUAACUUAAUGGAUUUGCAUAUUCUUUAUUAGAGUUUGGUCCAUUUUAAAUCUGCUAGAAUUAAGAGCUCUAGAGAAUAUUUUUUUAUUUGUGUUGUGUAAAAAAAAAAAAACAAAAAACCAAAAAGCAGUCUUUAUCGCUUAUAAUGGAUUUUUUUAUCAUGUAAUGUUUCCAAUUUCUGAGUGACAGAAAUGUUGAAUAGAAAUGUAGGAGAUUUCAUUUGUAUUAGAGUCAUUAUAUUGCAACCUCUAAUAUAUUCCACCUUAUUUUGCCUUUAAAUUAAAUGGACUUAAUCCCUUUUAUCUUUUCAUAUAGAAAAUCUUCUCUACUUAUUUUAAUUAUUUUUUAUCACAAUCUCCUGUUUCUUUUAUAGAAGCACUGACCGAAUCUGAAUGCAGCAUCUCAGCUGACAGUGUAAUAUUCAUUUACCUAUCACAUUAUGCUAUUUAUAAUGUAUUUCCCAUCCUUUUUCUAAUGCCAUAUGAUAUAUCAUCUGCCUUUUUUUACAUUUUAUUUUGAUGACAUAUUCUACAGAAGUACUCCUGCAGACCUGUCAUUUGGAGUCAUAUGGCCAUUUUUCAGUGCCACAGUUUAGAAGCCAGAAAAGUGUUUGAAACUUCCCAAUCACUCCUGGUAGUGCUGUUUACUUUUUAUUUAUCAGUAUGCACUAUACUCCCCUUCCCCUCACCCCAUUAGAGUCCCCUUUAUGUUUUUCAUCAAUUUUGACCAGUACUUCAUGUGCACAUGUGCAUUUGUGUGUGUGUAUUCUGCAGGUAACCUCCCUUUACACUUAGCCCUUCCUUGCGUUCAUUCCUGUCAACAGCACUGCCAGAAGACAGGAGACGCCUAACCCAGGCCAUUGAGCAGAAAAAUACUCAAGCAUUUUAAAUGACGGUGCAGCAUUCAGAGGUCCAGCUCAAGAGAUGUGAACUACCCCACCACAGAAGCUUCCCAGGCAGCAUGGAAGGAAAUUUCUGGAUGACAUUUUGGCUCUACUGAGGUCGGCAGCUGUUUUGCUACUGGCUACAAUGGAGCCAGAAUUUAAUUCUCUUUCCCCAGAACAGAAACUAAGAAGCAGGGUUAAUACCUGGGUACGGAACUGAGGGAGUUUUAUGGUUUGGAUAUCAGGGACUUGUUCUUGGCUCAGAAUAUUAUGGGAUGAAACAAGGAUGGAAACAAUAGAAGAAAAAUCAAUGAUUAUUUGAUUGAUUCCCUGGUGCUUUGGAAAAGAUAGGAAAUUAUGAUCAGCGGUAGCUCAUAUGUGACCUUACGGCAAGAUUUACAAGAGCCCUCCCACACAUGACAUUGAGAGAAUGCAUUUGACAACUUUUGCUCUCAUUAAAACAAAAUAAAACAUAUCCAUGAGCAAAUUCAGAAAGGUCAAUUUUGAAAGGAGAAAGUUUAAGAGCAGCAAACAUUUGCUCUCAGAAGACAAACAUUUAAGUGCCCUAAAACACAGGACACCCUGAGAAAUUCCAAUACUACAUGCAGCGAUGAAAAUUGCUGCAUUCUCAGCAACAUGAUGAAGUGUAUUAGGUUAUAGGUAUAAGAAUGCGACAUUGGUAUGGCAUUCAAAGGAACUUAGAAGUUACAGUUUGUAUCCAGUCUGUGAAGUUUUAGAAGUAUGGAAAGACUAAACAGAAUUCCCAUUUAGUGAAGGUAUACAUGAAAAUAUACAUUCUAGCAAGCAACACUGUUACACUUGUCUAGUCAAGUGGGCAUACCACAAACCAAUUUAGAGAUGCAAAGCAUGAGAAAUUAUGUACUAUGUUUGUAAUAAUGAUGUAAUAAUGUACAAACUUCUAUUACAGAUGUUAGCUUUUUUCUUUUUUCUUUUUUUUUUUAGUCAAAUAUUGUUAUUCAUAGAGAUAAUGUAUAAGCUAAAAGUGUCCUGGCCCUACAAAAUGUAAAGAUGGCUUCUAGGAAACUGCAUGGGUAUCAGAGCCCAUCAUCUCUUAUGGGAUGGCUCAUUCAGUGGAAUGCAGUGCCGUUCUUCUCAUUGGAUCAUAAAUAUUGUUUACUCUGAGAAUUACAGGAAGCUUCUUUACCUUAGCAUUCUCCCACGUUAAUAUCAGGCUAAUCUCUCUGAUAUGUCCUUGUGUUACCUGUAACAACUGACAGUCAGCAACGUCUUCUGGGUCUCCCAUCUAUGGUUUCUGGCUGAUAUUUUUUCCUGUGAAAUAAAUCAGGGAGUCAAAUUUCAGCACUGUCCCCUCGUUCAGUUGUUACAGUACAAUUUUAUACUCCUUAUGUUGCAUUGCAACUUUGGGGGGAUUUUACCUAUGUUUUGAGUCAUUUGAUCAACAAAUGAUAAAUUGAUAUGAUCUGCAGAUACUUUCAGUCUAACGUGUCACAAUAACUACGGCUAAUUAUUUAAAUUGAUAGCAAACAACUUUAUAGGACUUAUUUUCCGUGAAUUUGUUUUUAAAUGAUACAUAAUUAUCUUAGACUGGGAUAAGUGGUUAACUGACAAGCAAAUUAAUUGAGACAAAUGUCUCAAACCAUGAUCUCUUUUCUAGGAAAGGAAAUGCUACAGUAAAGCUAGUAGUGGUUGUAUAAGCAUUUUAUGGACCAAAGAUUCUAGAUAGGAAAGUUUCAGCAUCAGUGAUUCAUACAUGAAGUUGCAUGCUAGCAGGCUGUGUUGCUUGUACUGUGAAACUGGAAUAUUUGUUUUGGAAAGGCACAAAUCCUGAAGCUGUAAUCACUCAGCCACUUCUUUGGUUACCUAGUUGUUUCUAGCACUAAAAUGCUAUUUUUUUUUUCUGUACUUGUAUGCAUGACUUGUUAAUGGCAAAUUAUGAUUACUCCAAAUUUGUAUUUUAAGAUUUAUAUAUUUGUAGGGGCAUAGGUGACAUUUAAUCAGAGAAGGAAGCAAUUGGAGUUUCUCAUUCUCUGCCUACCAAAUCUUGAUGCUACCCAGCUGCAAGAGCCUCUUACCAUCUCCCGUGCCCCACAGCAACAAAUGAGCCCAUUAGGUAAUUUUUCCUGUUAAAAUAACCAGCUGACAUCCUCACAUUUUAAAAAGAGAGUCCAUUUUGUCAAGGGACUGCAUCCACAAUACACAAUGGAAGUGAGUUUAGGGGAGACUUCAGUAAAAAGGAGACUGCGCUGUGUAGAGGGAUAGUCCCGAUGAGAUUAAAUGGAGAUGAGAGCAUGAAGGUUGUCUCAGUGUAAAUAUGAACAUAUGAGAAAAGACUGUGGAUGGCACCAAGUUGUACCAGAUGACAAGAGGAAAACAUGACUGGGACAAUAGUGUUACCAACUUCAAAUCUUUUGGAAAAAAUUAGAAUGGAUGUGAUGAGAGAGAGAGUGUGGAAAGAUGUCUGAUGGUGUGCUACUGAAUGAGUGUGUGGGAGGGUCUAAUAGUUGUUUUUAAUUUGUACUAAUGAUGUUGUUUUAAGAGUGACUUAGUGGCAUCAGGUUCCUUCCCGAGCCAAAAGGAAGGAGAGAGAGUCCCUCCUGCAGCCCAUCAUUUCCCAUAGUGGCUUGUGGGAUCUGUGGGAUGCAGAGAGUUGCUAUCCCAGGUAAGAUGCUCAAGAUGAGACCUUCAGAGGCAUCACAGCAGCCUGCCUUCAGAACAGACAAUAAGCUGCAGCAUCUCACUGUGCCAGAAAUGUGCUUAGACCAUACAUCUCUGAAGUAACGUUGGCCUCCCUAGGUGAGCUGGACUGCCAGCAUGGUCACAGUCAUCCCAAUGGAUUGUCACUGGUGGGUGGUCCUUAGAGCACCACUGGGCUCUGCCCUCCUGGCCCAGGCUUUGCUCCCCUAAAGCAGGAAAAUCGGGUGGCUAUGGGUGUUCUGCAACUCCUGAGAAAUACUCUCCCCAUUUUGGAUAGGUCAUCACUAUGCUUUAAUUAGAAAUGGUAUUGUUUGAAGAACUCUGCAAGAUGUUAUCCAUGGCUGAUAGUAUCAAGUAUCAAGUAUCUAGUAUCAAGAAACUAGAAAGUUAUGAGACUGGCCCUUACAUAAGGAUUUUUUCAUCGGUCCCUUUGCAAUCCUGUGCCUUCAGAGAGUAAUGGUGCUUGUUGUUACUAUUUUUUAUUAAAUUCAAUGCAACCUAUUUCAGAGUGCAAUCUGUUUUUCAAUUUCUGGUGUGGCACCAUUAUUUGUACUAAAGAAAAUUUCAAUAUAUUGUAAAAAUUAUUAUAAAAAUAUUAUAAAGUAAAUUAUUAAAGAAUGAAUUAUUAGACUUUCUUACAUAGUAUUUUAAUAAAUAAUUAAUGAUUGCAAAAUAUUGCAUGUGAAUACUUUUGCAUCUGGCUGGAGGGGGAUGGCAAGGAUUUUUAGCAGCAAUGAAAAAUUUGAGUUGGUGAUUUCUGUAGGAAAACUGAGGAUUUUUUUUUAUAGAAACCUCAUAGUACUUCAGUUUAGACACAGUUUUGAGGUGAAGAUCUACAACAGCUGUCAGAAUUGGUUGACACUGCAUCUACCUACCAGAGUAGAUGGAGCACUUUCUGUUCCUAAACAUAGGAUAGCUACAGAGAUAAAUGAUAUUGUUUGUUGCGCAAUUAAAAAGCUAAUGUUGGCAUUUCAAUUAUCAUCAUUGGCCUUUAGUUGGAACACCCUAAUGAGAUGAAUGAGAUUGGCUCACAGCCUCUCAGAGAACCCUCUCUUCAGGCCAUCUGAAGACUUGGGAAUGAUUCCUCAUGCUGGGCUGUUGUUCAGCUAACAUUUGAAAGGUUGCUUCCAUCACCACAAAAGGCAGAGUCUCCAAUAGAAUGGAAAUUGUGGUUUAAUUCACAGUUCCACUUUUUCACACUGGAAACCAAUUCCAAAAUUUUCAUGUGCUGAGGUCUGUGACAACCUGUCAUGUUCACUGCAUCUCUUCAAAUGAGAUCUGCACCCCCUUGCUGCCAACUUCUUUUCUCUCACUAGAAACCUUCUCCUCCAUGCCUGUCUUGUAUCCUGUAUUUCUAAACUUCUUUGCUUGAAACUUGAAAUUACUGCUUCAUGCAGAUACCAAAUGAGUAGCCUGCCUGUUUUAUUCAUAUGGACACGAACCUACCCCUGGAUGCAAUUCCUGUGCCACUUGCCCCUGCAGCGCCUUACAUCUCCAGCAUCCCUGUCCUGCUUUCUGUUUGAGAGUGCUGGUUUGGGACCUGGUGCAUCUGCUGCAUGGAGUGAGGCUGUGGCAAACAUGCAACCAGUAAUGUUUGUCUUCUGAAGGUGGCCCAUAGCCACCACGCUUCUCUUCCACAAUUCCAUUGUGUGAUGCAUGUCCACAGUCAUGUUCCCUAGAUAAGCAAAGGCUGAAAUAUGAAUGGUACUCAAGGCAGUGGAAGAAGAACAGCCAAUGGAGAAAGGAACAGGUGGCACAUCCAAAACCAAGUGCAUGAAGAGGCACAGUUGACACCAGUCAUUUAAAAGCCCAGAUGGAUUACCCCAGCGCAUGACAAAAGUUUCAUCCAGAAAAGGCAAGAAACCCUGUUUACAAGAACGAAGAAUUUAAAGCAGUUUUACCCUGUGUGAGAGAGAUUAUCAUUGCAGUCAUUUAUGUCAGGUAAGUAAUUCAGAUGGUGCAUUGUUGAGUGAAAAGAUGGCCAGGGGCUCCACAUUGAUCACCUGGGAGGGCUCCUUGCCUCGAGCUCAAAGCCAGAGAUGAAGGAACACUGUAAGUAUUUGUACUCUGCUUCUAAUGCCUGUAUGAAUCCAGUAUAUAAAUUGUUCCAUCCCCUGUUCCUAGAUAAUGAGGAAUUGAUUUUAGUGCAAAAUUACAAGUUUUGUACUGGCAUAACUGCCAGUGUGGAAAAUCAUAUUCAAAGUCACAAUAGAGGUGUUUUUUAAUCCCUGUCUUUAUCUCAUGAGUAUUUUACUCAUUUUACAGUCUGGCAAAACUGAAGCAUAGAUAGUUUAGGUGACUUAUACAAAGUCACUCAUCAGGAGAGUUUCAGUCAAAAUAUAGACAAAGAUGUCUGAAUCCUUUUGUAAGCAAUUUUUUGUCUCAUAUUUUGACCUGACUUAGCAUCAUCUCACAUUCCAUUCCAGCUCCACGUUCAAGUGUAUGCUGUCUUGAACAAUGCAUGACAGUGGCUGUGCGACAUUUGCCAGACCUCUGAAAACUUAAAGCAGCUAUCUAGCAGUGAUUUCAAUAUGUUUUUAUGUACACAUCAAAUCAAAACUCACUUUAGUAUACAGUCAUGUUACAGUAAGUCAGAUUUAUCCCUGUCAUAACUCUGUUGGCUUUAAGGAAGCAGCACAAGAAACCAAGUUUGUCUAUGAAAUUUUAAGAUAAAUUUCAGAAACACAUUUUUCAGCCAAUGUGCAACUACUUUCCACAGUGGAAAAAAAGUACAUUGUUUGGCCACUGGAUGAAAUAUAAACACUACCAUUUGAGUGCUGAAGAUAGUAAUGUUUUUAUUCAUUUAUUUUCUUCGUGUACUGAAGGAAAAUAUACUGGCUAUGUUUGAAAAUGCUUACCACAUCAAGUGAAUAAUUAAGUAACAUAUAAAAUGACUCAAAAAAAUAUAUAUGUGUAUUUUAAUGUUGCUAGAAAAAUAAAAGUAUAUUAAGAAACA